rnacentral:rRNA from 1 species
GACGAACGCUGGCGGCGUGCCUAAUACAUGCAAGUCGAGCGAAGUUUUUCUGGUGCUUGCACCGGAAAAACUUAGCGGCGAACGGGUGAGUAACACGUAAAGAACCUGCCUCAUAGACUGGGACAACUAUUGGAAACGAUAGCUAAUACCGGAUAACAGCAUUAACUGCAUGGUUGAUGUUUAAAAGUUGGUUUUGCUAACACUAUGAGAUGGCUUUGCGGUGCAUUAGCUAGUUGGUGGGGUAAAGGCCUUCCAAGGCGACGAUGCAUAGCCGACCUGAGAGGGUGAUCGGCCACACUGGGACUGAGACACGGCCCAGACUCCUACGGGAGGCAGCAGUAGGGAAUCUUCCGCAAUGGGCGAAAGCCUGACGGAGCAACGCCGCGUGAGUGAAGAAGGAUUUCGGUUCGUAAAGCUCUGUUGUUAGGGAAGAAUGAUUGUGUAGUAACUAUACACAGUAGAGACGGUACCUAACCAGAAAGCCACGGCUAACUACGUG